rnacentral:piRNA from 1 species
UGCUGAUCUUGAUGAAUAGUGCAGGU